rnacentral:rRNA from 1 species
UAAACGAUGUCUACUAGUUGUCGGGUCUUAAUUGACUUGGUAACGCAGCUAACGCGUGAAGUAGACCGCCUGGGGAGUACGGUCGCAAGAUUAAAACUCAAAGGAAUUGACGGGGACCCGCACAAGCGGUGGAUGAUGUGGAUUAAUUCGAUGCAACGCGAAAAACCUUACCUACCCUUGACAUGUACGGAAUCCUGAAGAGAUUUGGGAGUGCUCGAAAGAGAACCGUAACACAGGUGCUGCAUGGCUGUCGUCAGCUCGUGUCGUGAGAUGUUGGGUUAAGUCCCGCAACGAGCGCAACCCUUGUCAUUAGUUGCUACGAAAGGGCACUCUAAUGAGACUGCCGGUGACAAACCGGAGGAAGGUGGGGAUGACGUCAAGUCCUCAUGGCCCUUAUGGGUAGGGCUUCACACGUCAUACAAUGGUACAUACAGAGGGCCGCCAACCCGCGAGGGGGAGCUAAUCCCAGAAAGUGUAUCGUAGUCCGGAUUGGAGUCUGCAACUCGACUCCAUGAAGUUGGAAUCGCUAGUAAUCGCGGAUCAGCAUGUCGCGGUGAAUACGUUCCCGGGUCUUGUACACACCGCCCGUCACACCAUGGGAGCGGGUUCUGCCAGAAGUAGUUAGCCUAACCGCAGGGGGGGCGAUUACCACGGCAGGGUUCGUGACUGGGGUGAAGUCGUAACAAGGUAACC